AAACAAUGAAUUUUUUAAAGAUAUUUUGAAAAAUGAUUCAAAUUGCGUCUUACUUACAGAACUCUUAAAAAGAGUUUGCCGCUCAUUUGAGUCUCACAGAACUCGAUAAAUUAAUCUCUCAAAUUGCGUGCAAAGUAUAACUAAUUUAUACCAUUGUGGUAAAAUAUUAGUGUAAAAAAUAUAAAGACAUGUGAAAUUGAAUUUGGUCAUGGAUUCCUUGUCUUUGGGUUUUUGUUUUUACAGGCAAUUAUACAUCAAAUGAAUGCAUACAUGAUCAAAAGUAAAAAAGAGAAGAAAAAAGAGAAGAAAAAAGCUAUUGAAUGUUGGGAAGAAUUUGUGACAUUACGAGAUCCACCAUACGCGGAAGAUUCUUAUUCUUUCAAGGAGUUCAAGAAAAACGUGAAAAAACUUCUAAGUGCAGAAAAAGAAUUAUAUGGGAAAAAUGAACAAUAGAACUUAUGUAAUUAAUAGCUACAUGUUUAGUCUUUGUUCUUGUUAUAGUAGUGAUUGAAUUUAUUUAUUUAAACAUAAGAAUUUGUGAAACUGUUUCUGAUAAUUUAUAAAAGUAAUUUAUGCCAUUUUUUAAAA
rnacentral:lncRNA from 1 species